AACGCACAUUGCGCCCCUUGGUAUUCCGAGGGGCACGCCUGUUCGAGCGUCAUUACACCACUCAAGCCUCGCUUGGUAUUGGGCGCCGCGCCCGUUCGCGCGCCUCAAUGUCUCCGGCUGAGUCGUUCGUCUCUAAGCGUUGUGGCACUUUAUGUUUCCGCUUUGGGGAUACGGACGAUUCGCGCCGUUAAACACAUUUCAAAGGUUGACCUCGGAUCAGGUAGGGAUACCCGCUGAACUUAA
rnacentral:misc_RNA from 1 species